rnacentral:rRNA from 1 species
AAUACGUAGGGGGCGAGCGUUGUUCGGAGUUACUGGGCGUAAAGGGUGUGUAGGCGGUUCUCUAAGUUUGGUGUGAAAUCUCCCGGCUCAACCGGGAGGGUGCGCCGAAAACUGGAGGGCUAGAGUGCGGGAAGGGAGAGUAGAAUUCCUGGUGUAGCGGUGAAAUGCGUAGAUAUCAGGAGGAAUACCGGUGGUGCAGACGGCUCACUGGACCGCGACUGACGCUGAGACACGAAAGCGUGGGUAGCAAACA